rnacentral:lncRNA from 10 species
AUUUCACACCUGGAUGUGCUCACUCAACCAAGAAUAUAGAGAAAGAGCUUCUGCCCUGAGACUCAGAAAAAUAUUCUCCUGUGCUUUGGUUCAGUAUAGAUUUCUAAACCCUGAUCAUUGCUUAAGAGAUAUUCACUGAGGACAGAGUCUUGCUCUAUUGCCCAGGCUGCAACUGGUGUGAUCUCGGCUCACUACAACCUCUGCCUCCUGGGUUCAAGCGAUUCUCCUGCCUCAAGCUCCCAAGUAGCUGGGAUUACAAGCAUGCACCACCAUGCCUGGCUAAUUUUUGUAUUUUUAGUGGAGACGGGGUUUCGCCACAUUGGCCAGGGUGGUCUUGAACUCCUGACCUCAAGUGAUCCACCUGCCUUGGCCUCCCAAAGUGCUGGGAUUAUAAGCAUGAGCCACUGCACCCAGCCUUAUACUGAACUUUCAAUGGGUUCAAUUCCACUAGGAGCAUAAAGGCCACUGCAUAUGAGUUGUGGAAAGAAGAGAUUAGAAGAAGGAAGAACUUGAGAUGAGUUCCUCCCUUCAACAUUCUGUCUCCUCCUACCUAGCAUCUUCUUUCUUUUAGUCUUUCUAGAAUGUCCAUCUGUUUUUGGCCAUUGCGGAGAGAGAAGCUGAGCUUUAAAGGAGUAGGAGCUUCAAAGGCGUAGGAGCUUCAAAAUUCUUGUUUCUUCAUGUUUGAUCACCCUUCUAAACCUGUCUUCUGUUCCUUCUGCUAUUCUUUUUUCUUAGAGCAUAGGAAAGGGGAGCUUUUAAAUUAAUACUUAAAGCAUGGAAAAAAAGAACUUGAGAAGAAAGUAAAACAAGGGAGAUGAGGCUAGUAAAGUAAGGAAAAUGAAGAGGAAGAGGAGGAAGGGUUAGCUUCUAAAUUCCAAGUCAAAUUGAUAUGGAACAGGCAAGCCGCUUGUCUUACUUAAACUUCAGAAAAGGAUCUGCUGAAACUUGAUAGAAAUGGAAAGGGAAAUCCUUGGGGUGGGGAACCUCCAAACAUUAGUAAUGAUAUUGAACAACUCAAAGUAUUGAGGAAAUCUGCAGGCUACAUGCCUGAAGAUUACCCAUGCAGAUAGACCAAAAGGAUUAGAAUUAUCUGUUGAUAUUAGUAAUAUUUAUUGACAUCUAGCUAGUAUUGGUAAUUUUAAGUUUUAGAUUAAUUUCUUUGGUAAUAGCUAUGAUAUAUUUUAUAGACAAGAAUUAUAUCUAUAGGCUUGCUAUCAUAGGCUCUUUUAAUCAGCAUUAAUUUAGUCUACUGAUUUUUAGCACAUUUGAAUCAUUCACUUAUGCUAGGUAACUCAUUGCAAAAUAAAAAGAUGAUUCCUGUAUGUAUGGCAGCUAUACAUUAAGGAGGAGUCUACCAGAAUAUGAAAAAGUCAGCUGACCUAAAUAUUGCUGAGACAAAGGAAAACCCACUCCCUUGGAGGAGCAUGACCUUUUCCUGUAAUUCUUCCCACUGCUGUUGUUGAGCUCCUUGGAUCCUGGCUCCUGGACACCAUCAUCAAGAAGACUUUAUGGAUGGGCUGUCCACCCACUGAGAGAAGAGGAGCAUCAGCUACAGUUUCUCUCUAGAUUGCCUUCUUCAUUUUGAGUAAUGACUGUCAGCAGGGUCAGAUUAAACACAAAACAACUGGACAAUUGCUUGGAGGACUAAACUAUAAGGGCACUAACAUGUCAAUAGUAGGCUAACACAUCCAUGGAAAAUAUAUUUACCAGCUCUUCUCUCAGGGAGGAUUCUGUGUGGGGUUGGAAGUAAUGAUUUGUUAAAUUCCUUAGGGGUAGAAAGUAGGGCAUAAUCAGAAUAUAGAGGAAUAUGCUGUUUGACUUCAGGGUUUCUGUUUUUCUUACUAGGAUAUAUAAAACAGGGACUCUAGCUAGAUUGUUUAUGACCACAGAGGGUAGGCUGAGUGCUCCCAUGAUCUUCCUGCUUGGUUCUUGCCCAUACAGAGGUCAGCCUUUCCUCUAAUAAAGAUUGAACAAGUAGUGGUCUGAGGGA